rnacentral:SRP_RNA from 1 species
GCUGGGCGUGGUGGCGGGCGCCUGUAGUCCCAGCUACUCGGGAGGCUGAGGCAGGAGAAUUGCUUGAACCCAGGAGGCGGAGGUGGCAGUGAGCCGAGAUCGCGCCACCGCACUCCAGCCUGGGUGACAGAGCAAGACUCUGCCUCAA